UACGUAGGGGGCAAGCGUUGUCCGGAUUUAUUGGGCGUAAAGAGCGUGUAGGCGGUCAGGUAGGUCCGUUGUGAAAACUCGAGGCUCAACCUCGAGACGCCGAUGGAAACCAUCUGACUAGAGUCCGGAAGAGGAGAGUGGAAUUCCUGGUGUAGCGGUGAAAUGCGCAGAUAUCAGGAAGAACACCCGUGGCUAAGGCGGCUCUCUAGUACGGUACUGACGCUGAGACGCGAAGCGUGGGGAGCGAACAGG
rnacentral:rRNA from 1 species